AUUCAAACGAACCAAAUAAACUUUUGAACUAGACUAAUCCGUCCACUCACCGUCUGAUGUCCUCCAGCCUCUCCAACUCCUGGUCAAUACAAACCCGGAGUCAUCCUCUGCGUCGUAGAGGAGCGCGUCUGUCGACUGUGGGAUCUGGAGGGUCUACCCCGCACCACCCGGGGAUCUCCUUCAGGUCUGGGAUCAGCUUUCAGCCGGGACAAUCAACCUCUCCCCACAACACCACCCACAGUUUUAACUGCCCAAUAAAAACAACUAUCACUCUUCACGAGAGCCUGAUUCUGACAGAGCUUCUCUUUCAAGUCUCCAUUAAAGCAAAUAAAUAAUGUAAUAAUAAUCUAAUAUAUAAUAAUAUAAAAUAAAAUAUAAAAUAUAAUAAUCUAAUGCUCUAAAACAAUCUAGUAAACGAAUAUGUUAAAAAAAAAACAA